ACAUGGAUAACUGUGGUAAUUCUAGAGCUAAUACAUGCAUCCAGCUCGGCUGCCUUGUGCAGCGAGCGCAGUUAUUAGAACAAAACCAAUCCGGCUUCUGUCGGUAAAUUGGUGACUCUGAAUAACCGAAGCGGAGCGCUAAGGUCUCGUACCGGCGCCAGAUCUUUCAAGUGUCUGACUUAUCAGCUUGUUGAGAGGUUAUGUUCCUCGCAUGGCUGUUACGGGUGACGGGGAAUCAGGGUCCGAUUCCGGAGAGGGAGCCUGAGAAACGGCUAUCACAUCCAAGGAAGGCAGCAGGCGCGCAAAUUACCCACUCCCGGCACGGGGAGGUAGUGACGAAAAAUAACGAUGCGAGAGCUUUUAGCUUUUCGUAAUCGGAAUGGGUACACUUUAAAUCCUUUAACGAGGAUCUAUUGGAGGGCAAGUCUGGUGCCAGCAGCCGCGGUAAUUCCAGCUCCAAUAGCGUAUAUUAGAGUUGCUGCGGUUAAAAAGCUCGUAGUUGGAUCCGGGCAGUCGACGCGCGGUGCGCUUUACGGCGUUACUGCGUGCUCGUCGCCACUAUCCGGCCUUGUCUUUCAUGUUCUUUACUGAGCGUGAUCGGCGACCGGGACGUUUACUUUGAAAAAAUUAGAGUGCUUAAAGCAGGCAUAUGGCCUUGCAUAAUGGUGCAUGGAAUAAUGGAAUAGGACCUCGGUUCUAUUUUGUUGGUUUUCGGAGCUCGAGGUAAUGAUUAAGAGGAACAGACCGGGACAUUCGUAUUGCGGCGUUAGAGGUGAAAUUCUUGGAUCGUCGCAAGACGAACUACUGCGAAAGCAUUUGUCAAGAAUGUUUUCAUUAAUCAAGAACGAAAGUUAGAGGUUCGAAGGCGAUCAGAUACCGCCCUAGUUCUAACCAUAAACGAUGCCAACCAGCGAUCCGUCGGUGUUCAUUCAAUGACUCGACGGGCAGCUUCCGGGAAACCAAAGUGCUUAGGUUCCGGGGGAAGUAUGGUUGCAAAGCUGAAACUUAAAGGAAUUGACGGAAGGGCACCACCAGGAGUGGAGCCUGCGGCUUAAUUUGACCCAACACGGGAAAACUUACCCGGCCCGGACACUGUAAGGAUUGACAGAUUGAGAGCUCUUUCUUGAUUCGGCGGUUGGUGGUGCAUGGCCGUUCUUAGUUGGUGGAGCGAUUUGUCUGGUUAAUUCCGAUAACGAACGAGACUCUAGCCUGCUAAAUAGCCAUCUGAUCCGCUGCGUCGG
rnacentral:rRNA from 1 species